ACUCCUGCGGGAGGCAGCAGUGGGGAAUUUUACGCAAUGGGGGAAACCCUGACGUAGCGACACCGCGUGAGCGAAGAAGCCCUUUGGGGUGUAAAGCUCUGUCAGCUGGAACGAAAACAAUGACGGUACCAGCAGAGGAAGCAUCGGCUAACUACGUGCCAGCAGCCGCGGUAAGACGUAGGAUGCGAGCGUUGUCCGGAUUUAUUGGGCGUAAAGAGUUCGUAGGUGGUUUGUUAAGUUUGGUGUUAAAGAUCGGGGCUCAACCCUGGGACUGCACUGAAUACUGGCAGACUCGAGUGUGGUAGAGGCUAGUGGAAUUCCCAGUGUAGCGGUGAAAUGCGUAGAUAUUGGGAAGAACACCGGUGGCGUAGGCGACUAGCUGGGCCAUAACUGACGCUGAGGAACGAAAGCCAGGGGAGCGAAUGGGAUUAGAAACCCCAGUAGUCC
rnacentral:rRNA from 1 species